rnacentral:rRNA from 1 species
AUACGGAGGACGCGAGCGUUAUCCGGAUUCAUUGGGUUUAAAGGGUGCGCAGGCGGCCGUGCAAGUCAGCGGUGAAAGCCCGGGGCUCAACCCCGGAAGUGCCGUUGAUACUGCAUGGCUGGAAUGCGGUCGAGGCGGGCGGAACGUGGCGUGUAGCGGGGAAAUGCGUAGAUAUGCCACAGAACGCGGAUAGGGGAGGCGGCGGGCCAGGCCUGCAUUGACGCUCGGGCACGAAAGCGUGGGGAUCGAACAGGAUUAGAUACCCUGGUAGUCCACGCCGUAAACGAUGGGCGCUCGUCGUCGGCGGCAGACAGUCGGCGGCCAAGCGAAAGCGAUAAGCGCCCCACCUGGGGAGUACGGACGCAAGGCUGAAACUCAAAUGAAUUGACGGGG